rnacentral:rRNA from 1 species
GAUGAACGCUGGCGGCGUGCCUAAUACAUGCAAGUCGAGCGAACGGACGAGAAGCUUGCUUCUCUGAUGUUAGCGGCGGACGGGUGAGUAACACGUGGAUAACCUACCUAUAAGACUGGGAUAACUUCGGGAAACCGGAGCUAAUACCGGAUAAUAUUUUGAACCGCAUGGUUCAAAAGUGAAAGCCGGUCUUGCUGUCACUUAUAGAUGGAUCCGCGCUGCAUUAGCUAGUUGGUAAGGUAACGGCUUACCAAGGCAACGAUGCAUAGCCGACCUGAGAGGAUGAGCGGCCACACUGGAACUGAGACACGGUCCAGACUCCUACGGGAGGCAGCAGUAGGGAAUCUUCCACAAUGGGCGAAAGCCUGACGGAGCAACGCCGCGUGAGUGAUGAAGGUCUUCGGAUCGUAAAACUCUGUUAUUAGGGAAGAACAUAUGUGUAAGUAACUGUGCACAUCUUGACGUUACCUAAUCAGAAAGCCACGGCUAACUACGUG